UUGUAGUUGGAGCUGGGCCUUGAAAGAAAAUAGGGAUUCUGAGAGGUGGAAGGUAUUUUGUCUCACUUCCAUCCCUGAGAAUCCCUGAUUUCCGGCAAGGCAUUCUUCAAUCAAUUUUU
rnacentral:precursor_RNA from 15 species